GACGUAGGUGGCGAACGUUAUCCGGAAUUAUUGGGCGUAAAGGGUGCGUAGGCGGCAUGAUAAGUUAUUGGCGGCAAAUCGAGGCUCAACCUCGUGGAUACUAAUAAUACUGUCUUGCUUGAGUGCAGAAGAGGUUAACGGAACUCCAUGUGGAGCGGUAAAAUGUGUAGAUAUAUGGAAGAACAUCAAUAACGGCGAAGGCAGUUAACUAUUCUGUUACUGACGUUGAGGCACGAAAGCGUGGGGAGCAAAAAGG
rnacentral:rRNA from 1 species